CCGUUUGAACUUGCUGCGGGGCGGGAUUGGUUACAAAAACUCAGGCCCGAAUUUUUAGCGGGCCUAGCGGGUUGAGCUUGUGCGGGAUUGGGCCAGAAGCGGGAUGGGCUCGGUGUGUACCGCGGGACACUGCGGGACGCGCGAGGAUCCGCAAAGACAUCGUCACUUUCAGUCUUCAAGCUCUCACCGACAAAAUAACCUGAGAGAAAUGGCGAUUAGAAAGCAUGUCUCUUAUGGCUUCUCUUCUUUGAUCUCUUACGGCUUCUCUUCUUCCUCUUAAAGACAGGAGAGGGGAAGACAGUACAUCUCUGCUAUAGAGAGGAAUAUGUCUCAUGUGAAUGAUAAUUAAAUCUGGAGCUGGUGAUAAGAGCUGAUAGACUUUAGGUUUGCAUUUGUUGUGAAUGGUUGCUUACGUACUGAAUACUGAUUGCUUCCUGUCCCGUCCCGUUCUUAUCACCAGCAAUCAGUAUUCAGUACGUAAGCAACCAUUCACAACAAAUGCAAACCUAAAGUCUAUCAGCUCUUAUCACCAGCUCCAGAUUUAAUUAUCAUUCACAUGAGACAUAUUCCUCUCUAUAGCAGAGAUGUACUGUCUUCCCCUCUCCUGUCUUUAAGAGGAAGAAGAGAAGCCGUAAGAGAUCAAAGAAGAGAAGCCAUAAGAGACAUGCUUUCUAAUCGCCAUUUCUCUCAGGUUAUUUUGUCGGUGAGAGCUUGAAGACUGAAAGUGACGAUGUCUUUGCGGAUCCUCGCGCGUCCCGCAGUGUCCCGCGGUACACACCGAGCCCAUCCCGCUUCUGGCCCAAUCCCGCACAAGCUCAACCCGCUAGGCCCGCUAAAAAUUCGGGCCUGAGUUUUUGUAACCAAUCCCGCCCCGCAGCAAGUUCAAACGGGCCGGGCCCGCGGGCAGGUUCAGGUUUUGCCAUCUCUACAUGUAUUGAUCCCAUCUGAUAAGGCAAACGAAAAUUUCCACCUACUUAUCAACAAACCUAAACCCAAAUUUUAAACCGAUUAAUGAGUCCAGGGUCUAGAAUCUAGAUAUAACACGUAGUAUGCCUAAUUCUAUAUAUUUCCAGUUGAACAAAUAUUGGUCAACUGUUUUACAAAAAAAAAAAAAAUUGGUCAACUAAGUAAUUUGCUUGUGCUCCUUACAAAAUAAUUAAAUCAUAACGAUUAAUUAUUAUUUUUAUUUAUAGAUAAAUUUAAAAUAAUUUUUUAAUUUCUAUCAAACAACUUAUUUAUCAUUCAAAAUUUAGGUGGUAUGAAAAACUAGACCGAAAUAAAACAAUUAAUAUAAUACAACUCCUUAUGAUAGCAUGUCGAUAUCUUAUAUUAGCUAAUGAAUCUAGAGAAAUAUUUUCAGAACAGAGAAGAUAAAUAAUGGAAAAGUCAUUAAAUAUAUCUUUCAGUCAUGAUAGUUUUCUUAAUUCCAUGGAAAGCUUGGUCAUUCUUGUGGAUCUUAAAUCAUUGUGAUUAGCUCUCUACAGUCGGUGCCAAAAAACUUGGCACGUCGAUAUUUGUAGCAUGCAUUCCAUUAUCCAAGAUAACGUUUCAAGUUCUGAAUGUAGAGAUGAUAUUCUUCUUCUUUGGUUUCUGGACCCAAAAGUUGCACUUCCCUCUGGAGUUCUUUCAUAUUCAUCCACGACCACUAAAAAGUACGUCAUAUGUCCACGAAUCUCUGAGAUUGCAUUUUCUGUAGUGGGUUGUCUAAUUUCUGGUAUAUCCUUAUGUUUGUUGUUAGCUUCAAACCAAACAUGACAUUCUGACUCAACAUGUCGAACAGUUUUCAAUGAGUCCAUGUUUAUCUCUCCGGACAAUUUUCAUUCUUUGCUUUCCAAAUAUACUAGAUUAUCCAAGGACAUAGAUCUCUAUCCAAAUAUGGGUCUUCAAUAUCGUUCUUUCGAUAGAAAAAAAUCCAUAUUAUGCAUUGCUCGAGGAAGAGAAACUCAAGAGUGGGGUAGGGGUUACUGCUAGUGCACAUAUUUGUGUAUAGGCUCGAGGAAGGGAAACUCAAGAAGGCAUUCAAAAAUGGCAUGAUUGACUGUUUUAUUCUUAGCUUCACAUCUUGGACAAUGAUUAUUGCAUCGCAUAUGGCGAUGAAUUAAAAUACUACUAACAUCUAGCUGACCCGAUUUCCAUAUAAGAUGAUGAAUGAUCAUGUCUUCACUACCAUUUUAGUGUGUUUCAAUUGGACUUUUGUUGUGCCGGGUUUAUGUGAUAAAUCUUGUUUGAGUAGUAAAGUAGGGUUAGGUUAACGGCACCUGAUAAGAGACAGUCAUGUCGAGUCUGGGGAUAUAUUAAUAUAUACCGUAGGUAAACACAUAAAAAAAUCAUACACUUUGUAAGUGAGGUAUUCACGUAGGAAAUGUGGGAUCGUAGUCUGAUUUGGAUGCUCUACACGAAUGUUGAGAUGGAGGGGUUGAGACCUUUGUGGAUUAACACUAGGUCCUAGAUGUUUAGGUUGUUUGUUGUUUGUUGCAUUCUGGUUAAUAUUAGUUUGUGACUUUGUAUUUGUUGUGUUAGAUGGUAUGAGGUGAGUUAUUAGGUUCCUAAAACCCAUCUUCACUAAAGAAUUCAGUACUCACUUCUUUUCUUGUAGUUACUACAUACGAGAAACUGUAUGUGUAGAAGUUCGUGUGGUACCAUCUUUUGAAGAAUUGAAUUUACUUUAUCAUAUUUAAAAUUUAAAAUACUUUCUUAAGUUACUGUAAGGCCUUGCUUGAAAUAAAGAAAGUGUUAGAAACUAAAUUUUGUUAUUGUCGAAAGUAAAAUCCUCAGAACUGUUGAAAGGACACGAUGGUUCGCUUUGUGGCACAGUCAUGUGUCUUGUAAACUCAUUCCUGGUCCUUGGUUGUUGUUAAGGAAGGCGCAGCACCGGCCUACUAUUUGUAAGCCCAAGAGCCAAAUUUUAUUUGGCCUUCUAUAAAUUAUUAUUUUAAUAAAGACAUAUAAACAUAAAAAGAUAUCUCCUCUAGAUUCGUAUUUUGUAAUCUGAUUCAGCUUCUCAAAUAAAUUACCAGCACAGUUAUACAUGAGUUUUCUGUUUAUUUCGGCCUCUAAAAUAAGUAAAUAUUUCUACGGCUCUAAAUAGGAAAAUAGGCUUUUAAAUUCUCGACUAUUUGAAAUCAUCUAUACUAUACUAAAAGUUCUUAAACUAGAGUUUUUAGAGUGUCCACGUAGGCAUGGAUAUUCCAGCCACUCAUAAGUUAAGAAUGUGCCAUGUCAUCAGAUACAUUCUUGACUUGCUAUUUGCCGAUUAGCCUCCGUCGACGAACAAAUUUUCUCGAUUCACCUUCUCCCACAAACUGUUACAUCUCUCACAAUGCCCAAUCGAAAUCAAUUCUGAAAACUGAAGAGAAUAUUAUGGCUUCUCAAUUACUUCACUGCUUGAUGCUCAUUAUAUAAGCUGUCCAGGAUAGUGAGUUAAGAUUCACCUCCUUAUCACAAGAAAGCCAAACCGAUAGCUGGUUCUGCCUUUCAGGAGAAUCGGCCAAACUCUCAGAAGAACAUCCAGUAGCUCCAGUAGCUGAGAACAGAAGCUGUGAUCUCAGCUCCAGGUAAAUUCAGAAAUCGUAUUAGGUUGUUCUGUUUCAUUCGAUUCUCUCGGCAAUAGAUGAAAUCGUCUGAAUAUGUUGAUGGAAACCCUAUGUUGCCGACCGAAUGACAUCCAUUGUUCAUGUAUCAAGUACUUUUAAUUUUCCCUUACACAAUCGUCAAUUGUACUUUCUUAUAUUCUAAACUUUAUUUUUUGAUGACAGCAACAGUAUGGUGCCAACACGUCACUCCAUAGCUUAUGAUGAUUACCUUCAGAUCAGUCUUUGUAAGUGAUUUUUUUUCAUUCAGCAGGAUGUGUGACAUGCUUUUCACAGCAACCUCUCACCCCCUUGCUGAAUUUAUCUUCUUUCUUGACAACCAUUGUCGACAAUGGAUUGACAUGGAGAGAAUAUACAUUAAGGUAAAGAGUAUGCAUAAGCUUGCUUCCACAUCUUUCUCAGUCUCUCGCUCUAUUUCUUCUGAUUAGCUUAUUGGUGAAUUCUGAAGCUUUCUUGAUUGGAUCAGUGGUCGAGACGAUAGAGAGCCUUGCAUUGGAGACCACAAAGAGGCGUACCUAUAAAAUCUGUGUCUAUACAUUACUGAUUACUCCCUGGGCUCUUUGAAUAUUUCCUCCAUCCCUAAGUGUUGAUUAAGAGACAUACUUCUUGCUUCUCUUUGCUUAAUUAAUAACCAUUUCCAGCUUUUUGUAGAUAUCCAAAGGAAUCAGACAAAAUCAUGCUUGCGAAGCAGACUUCCUCAGGGUGAUUAAGUUGCUUAACUAGACAAUAAGAGUGGUGCUCGAGUAUAUGAAUGAUCCAAAGGAACAUGGAAAGAAGAGAGGAAAUAAUCUUCUUGCUUCUGUGCAAGUGAUUGGAAGGGAGUUUUGAGUACUCCUUAUGGAAGAACAUUGAUAGUCUCUGUCACUUCAGCUUUCACUGAACAUUGAUAAUCCAGCCCUUUUGGGUCCACUUGCUUCUUACAAGUUAAAAUAUUUAGCAAUCGUCAAUAGCAGAGCUGAACAUUUGUUCGAAGUGAUCAACUCGAGAGAUGAUGUGCUUAGGACGUGGAUGAGACGGUAUAUGUAUCUCAGGUAUGUGGAAGCUAGAUUAGCGGAUAGGAUUCUCCAUGCAGAUGAGAUAUUGAAAUAUGGGUUUUGCUUGAAUGUGAUUAAGACUUCUUUAUGUCCUUUGGAAGUUUUGAAGAAUAUGCAGGAGGAGGCUGUGAGGGAUGAUGAUAUUGUCUUCAAGGGUCUACCAUCCACUGAGCCAUUCUAGGUGUUCAAUGGGAUUAGUAAAUUCUGUAAGAAGAGGGUUACAACUCCUGGUAUCAUCUCUCUGGCCAAGGGUGUGAAAGCAGAGUUUGAACCUCAUCCUCCGAUUGUUACUCAUGCUUGAAUGAUCUAACGAGCAUAGAGAUUCACCAAAAAUACCAGAUCGCUUGAUUGUGUGUAGUGGUUAGUAAGCAUCAUAGGCCGCUACUGUUUACCCAAUGCAUCCAUGGCUAGCCACCUCUUCUUACUAAGAAGCGUCAGCCCCAAUAAAUGGAAUUGUAAGGUUAGCUUCUUCGUAAGUUUCUCUUCGUGAUUCCAAUCUGAGGAGCGUAGAUAUGGGGAAAAAUAUAGCUCCAGAUGCAGAGCUUCACUUUUAUAUAGGCAAAGACAGAUUUGUGAGAAUAACUCUUUACACCGAAAGGUCGAUUCUUCUGAUGGCUUGCACACGGGUUAAUGGCAUCAACAAGCAAGGAAACAUCACUAUGCUAGAUAAAAAUGGAGGGGAGAAACAUGUGGUGAAUCUUCUGCAGAGCAAAAUAAAAAACAGAACCAUCUUAAUGUGGAGCAUCUUUGCCUCACGUCUGUGUAUUCCGUUCGACGUUGGCUAGCAGUGGCGGAAAGUUUUGUUCUAUUACUUGGGUUUUAAGUUAUCAUUUGGCUGCUGGAACAUGAGUUAAAAGAGACAUUGUCAUCUUCUUAUAUCAAAUCCAUGAAAAGACUAUCAGGAUUUACUGUGUUAUGGGUAAUUGUUAUAGCUUUCAAGAAAAUUAUGAGAUAUUGUGUUCAAAUGCAUUUCAAAAUAAGUGAAGAGAUUCUAA